UGGGGGAAUUUUGGACAAUGGGGGAAACCCUGAUCCAGCCAUCCCGCGUGUGCGAUGAAGGCCUUCGGGUUGUAAAGCACUUUUGGCAGGAAAGAAACGUCGCGGGUUAAUACCCCGCGAAACUGACGGUACCUGCAGAAUAAGCACCGGCUAACUACGUGCCAGCAGCCGCGGUAAUACGUAGGGUGCAAGCGUCAAUCGGAAUUACUGGGCGUAAAGCGUGCGCAGGCGGUUCGGAAAGAAAGAUGUGAAAUCCCAGAGCUUAACUUUGGAACUGCAUUUUUAACUACCGGGCUAGAGUGUGUCAGAGGGGAGGUGAAUUCCGCGUGUAGCAGUGAAAUGCGUAGAUAUGCGGAGGAACACCGAUGGC
rnacentral:rRNA from 1 species